GCCUCUUCGGCAGCACGUACGCUAAAACUGGAAUGUGACAGAGAUUAGCACGGCCCCUGCACAAGGAUGGCAUGCAAAUUCGUGAAGCGUUCCACAUUUAA
rnacentral:snRNA from 1 species